AUUGAACGCUGGCGGCAUGCCUUACACAUGCAAGUCGAACGGUAACAGGUCCUCGGAUGCUGACGAGUGGCGAACGGGUGAGUAAUACAUCGGAACGUGCCCGAUCGUGGGGGAUAACGCAGCGAAAGCUUUGCUAAUACCGCAUAAGAUCUACGGAUGAAAGCAGGGGACCGCAAGGCCUUGCGCGAACGGAGGGGCGGAUGGCAGAUUAGGUAGGUGGUGGGAUAAAAGCUUACCAAGCCGACGAUCUGUAGCUGGUCUGAGAGGACGACCAGCCACACUGGGGCUGAGACACGGCCCAGACUCCUACGGGAGGCAGCAGUGGGGAAUUUUGGACAAUGGGCGAAAGCCUGAUCCAGCCAUGCCGCGUGCAGGAUGAAGGCCUUCGGGUUGUAAACUGCUUUUGUACGGAACGAAAAGACUCUGGUUAAUACCUGGGGUCCAUGACGGUACCGUAAGAAUAAGCACCGGCUAACUACGUGCCAGCAGCCGCUGUAAAAC
rnacentral:rRNA from 1 species